rnacentral:tRNA from 1 species
UUAGCACAGUAGGCAGUGCAUCAGUCUUGUAAACUGAAGGUCCUGAGUUCAAUCCUCAAA